AAGUGGCUCGAUGUUAGAAUUAUCCAUGAAUUUUUAUAUUUUAAUGUCAUUACCAAGCCUUUAGAAUUCACAGCCAUUAUUGUUGAAAAGACAAAAAGAAAUCCAAAGAGCAGACAUAAUUCUUUAGAAGAGCUCUGAGCAAACACCUGUGCCUAUGAAAAAGAAUGCGGAGGACACACGCAGUUGUCAGCUAAGGGAGGACACAUAGACGCACUGGACAAUAAUCAAGGAUUGCUGGCUGAGAGUGCGUAUGUUGAGUGUUUAAAGAAAAAAGCCACUGGAGGA